GUUUUGUGUUUUAGGCGGCGCAAGUCCGCACGACAUUCUUUACAACUGGGGUUUGGUAUGCGGCCUCGGGGAGUCGCCUCCCUUCGGGCCGUGAAGGUUCACGGUGGGUUUGUGAGGUGUGAGCGGGGAGGACGGCCCGCUGCACGGCCCGUUUGGACCGGAGCAGGGCGCGCCGAGCCCCGUCAGAGAUACGUUAAUGAUCCUUCCGCAGGUUCACCUACGGAAA
rnacentral:misc_RNA from 1 species